rnacentral:rRNA from 1 species
AGAAUCAACGCUGGCGGCGUGCCUAACACAUGCAAGUCGAACGAGAAAGUGGAGCAAUCCAUGAGUAAAGUGGCGACCGGGUGAGUAACACGUGACUAACCUACCCUAAAGUGGGGAAUAACUCCGGGAAACCGGGGCUAAUACCGCAUAAAAUCGUCGUUUCUAAAGAAGUGACGAUCAAAGCAGCAAUGCGCUAUGGGGAGGGGGUCGCGGCUGAUUAGCUAGUUGGGCGGGGUAAUGGCCCACCAAGGCGAAGAUCGGUA